rnacentral:tRNA from 1 species
GCCCAGGUAGCUCAGUUGGUAGAGCAUUCGCCUGAAGAGCGAAGGGUCGCCAGUUCAACCCUGGCCCUGGGCA